rnacentral:rRNA from 1 species
UACGGGGGGGGCAAGCGUUGUUCGGAAUUACUGGGCGUAAAGGGCUUGUAGGUGGCCAACUAAGUCAGACGUGAAAUCCCUCGGCUUAACCGGGGAACUGCGUCUGAUACUGGAUGGCUUGAGUGUGGGAGAGGGAUGCGGAAUUCCAGGUGUAGCGGUGAAAUGCGUAGAUAUCUGGAGGAACGCCGGUGGCGAAGGCGGCAUCCUGGACCAUUACUGACACUGAAAAGCGAAAGCCAGGGGAGCAAACGGG